rnacentral:rRNA from 1 species
CAGUAGCCGCGGGAAAACGAAGGGUGCAAGCGUUAAUCGGAAUUACUGGGCGUAAAGGGUGCGUAGGCGGUUGUUUAAGUCUGUUGUGAAAUCCCCGGGCUCAACCUGGGAAUGGCAAUGGAAACUGGACGGCUAGAGUGUGUCAGAGGAUGGUGGAAUUCCCGGUGUAGCGGUGAAAUGCGUAGAGAUCGGGAGGAACAUCAGUGGCGAAGGCGGCCAUCUGGGACAACACUGACGCUGAAGCACGAAAGCGUGGGGAGCAGACAGGAUUAGAUACCCCCGUAGUCCCUGUCUAUUAUAC